UACGGGGGGUGCGAGCGUUGUCCGGAAUCACUGGGCGUAAAGGGCGCGUAGGCGGCUUCUUAAGCGUGUGGUGAAAGCUCAGGGCUCAACUCUGAGUCGGCCAUGCGAACUGGGAGGCUUGAGCACUGUAGAGGCAGGUGGAAUUCCGGGUGUAGCGGUGGAAUGCGUAGAGAUCCGGAAGAACACCGGUGGCGAAGGCGGCCUGCUGGGCAGUAGCUGACGCUGAGGCGCGACAGCGUGGGGAGCAAACAGG
rnacentral:rRNA from 1 species